GACGAACGCUGGCGGCGUGCUUAACACAUGCAAGUCGAACGAAGUGGCGAACGGGUGAGUAACGCGUAAUCAACCUGCCCUUCAGAGGGGGACAACAGUGGGAAACGACUGCUAAUACCGCAUACUGAAGGAGGGGAUUGCGUCUGAUUAGCUAGUUGGAGGGGUAACGGCCCACCAAGGAGAUGAUCAGGAGCCGGGCUUGGUGGAUGAACGGCCACAUUGGGACCGAGACACGGCCCAUACUCCCACGGGAGGCAGCAGUUGGGAAUCUUCCGCAAUGGACGAAAGUCUGGCGUAGCAACGCCGAGUGAGUGAUGGCGGCCUUCGGGUUGUGAAGCUCUGUUAAUCGGGACGCGGUACCGGAAUAGAAAGCCACGGCUAACUACGUGCCAGCAGCCGCGGUAAUAC
rnacentral:rRNA from 1 species